AGUGAACGCUGGCGGUAGGCCUAACACAUGCAAGUCGAACGGCAGCACAGUAAGAGCUUGCUCUUACGGGUGGCGAGUGGCGGACGGGUGAGGAAUACAUCGGAAUCUACUUUUUCGUGGGGGAUAACGUAGGGAAACUUACGCUAAUACCGCAUACGACCUACGGGUGAAAGCAGGGGAUCUUCGGACCUUGCGCGAUUGAAUGAGCCGAUGUCGGAUUAGCUAGUUGGCGGGGUAAAGGCCCACCAAGGCGACGAUCCGUAGCUGGUCUGAGAGGAUGAUCAGCCACACUGGAACUGAGACACGGUCCAGACUCCUACGGGAGGCAGCAGUGGGGAAUAUUGGACAAUGGGCGCAAGCCUGGUCCAGCCAUGCCGCGUGGGUGAAGAAGGCCUUCGGGUUGUAAAGCCCUUUUGUUGGGAAAGAAAAGCAGCAGGUUAAUAUCCCGCUGUUUUGACGGUACCCAAAGAAUAAGCACCGGCUAACUUCGUG
rnacentral:rRNA from 1 species